CAGUUCACAGUCGUAGUUAUUGAAAUGUGCGCAGCGACAUGAAAAAUGUGACGUUUGUUUACUAUGACACCAAAGAGUUUAUUAAAAAAUCAUUUCGUUUAAAAGUUACGAGAAGUAGAAGAGACGUAAUUCGUGCCGACACCUGUCGGCCAAUUAACAUCUACCAUGUCCACCGACCUGUAUUUUGCAACAGUCAAAUCACUGAGAGAAUUAACGAUACUCGUGGAAAAUAUCAACGAACCAAUGAGUUGUCCAACGAUCUUUGAAAAUUCUAGAAAAAUAUUUGUAAGGCGACAAAACAUUCGAACACUUUUCAACCGUCCAGAAGACGACGACGACGACGACAACAGUAGAGAAUACUAUGAAAAUGUUGACGAAGGAGAAGAGUACAGUCCCGGACAGAAGUACAGUCGAUGGUAUGAAAAUAUACUUUACCACAGCUUGCAUAUUGAAUGCCAAGCAUAUUGAA